AGAAACCCUAGCUUCAUCUAAUUCACAAGGAAAACUAUAAAGAUUCAAGGAAAUUGAAAGCAUAAUCAGGAAAUUGCAAGCUCUUAACUUGUCCAUUGAAAGGGCGUAAAGGAAGAGGGCUCAGGUUCUAAGAAGUCGGAAAGCUCACAAGACAAAGGUAAAUCCUCAUCUUAGACUAUUUGGCGAGUUGAAGCGAGCACGUGAUCACCACUUAACAUAUCAAGCGCUUCCGCUAGUUGCUUUAAUGUUUUGGGUCAAAUAAUAGUGAAAGUUUGUCUAAACUUGUUAGUAGAUGUAUUGGUCAAAAUUGAUGUUUUCUUUGGAUUUUCAUUGCGUCUAGUCGUAAGGGUCAUGGAAUAUUUUGUAUGAAAGUUGUAUGAAACAGGGGUAUGCUCAUUGUACGAAUGGGUCAUGUCCGAUUUUUGUCAAAAAUAUGAAUUUAACUUGUUAUUUCAAGUCUUAAAAUUAUCCUUGUAAAUGGUUUU